AACAGAUUUACUUCGGUAAUGACGUUAGGAAAGCGAGCGGCGGAUGGGUGAGUAACACGUGGGGAACCUGCCCCAUAGUCUGGGAUACCACUUGGAAACAGGUGCUAAUACCGGAUAAGAAAGCAGAUCGCAUGAUCAGCUUUUAAAAGGCGGCGUAAGCUGUCGCUAUGGGAUGGCCCCGCGGUGCAUUAGCUAGUUGGUAAGGUAAAGGCUUACCAAGGCGAUGAUGCAUAGCCGAGUUGAGAGACUGAUCGGCCACAUUGGGACUGAGACACGGCCCAAACUCCUACGGGAGGCAGCAGUAGGGAAUUCUCCACAAUGGACGCAAGUCUGAUGGAGCAACGCCGCGUGAGUGAAGAAGGGUUUCGGAUCGUAAAGCUCUGUUGUUGGUGAA
rnacentral:rRNA from 1 species